CCUACGGGAGGCUGCAGUGAGGAAUAUUGGUCAAUGGGCGAGAUCCUGAACCAGCCAAGCCGCGUGAGGGAAGACGGCCCUAUGGGUUGUAAACUUCUUUUGUCGGAGAAUAAAAGUCUGGACGUGUCGCGGUUUGCGUGUACCCUAUGAAAAAGCAUCGGCUAACUCCGUGCCAGCAGCCGCGGUAAUACGGAGGAUGCGAGCGUUAUCCGGAUUUAUUGGGUUUAAAGGGUGCGUAGGUGGGUUGUUAAGUCAGCGGUGAAAGUUUGUGGCUCAACCACAAACGUGCCGUUGAAACUGGAAGACUUGAGUUGGCGUGAGGUACGCGGAAUGCGCGGUGUAGCGGUGAAAUGCAUAGAUAUCACGCAGAACUCCGAUUGCGAAGGCAGCGUAC
rnacentral:rRNA from 1 species